GUUAAGCGACUAAGCGUACACGGUGGAUGCCCUGGCAGUCAGAGGCGAUGAAGGGCGUGCUAAUCUGCGAUAAGCGCCGGUAAGGUGAUAUGAACCGUUAUAACCGGCGAUACCCGAAUGGGGAAACCCAGUGUGAUUCGUCACACUAUCAUUAACUGAAUCCAUAGGUUAAUGAGGCGAACCGGGGGAACUGAAACAUCUAAGUACCCCGAGGAAAAGAAAUCAACCGAGAUUCCCCCAGUAGCGGCGAGCGAACGGGGAGGAGCCCAGAGCCUGAAUCAGCAUGUGUGUUAGUGGAAGCGUCUGGAAAGGCGCGCGAUACAGGGUGACAGCCCCGUACACAAAAGCGCAUGUGCUGUGAGCUCGAUGAGUAGGGCGGGACACGUGGUAUCCUGUCUGAAUAUGGGGGGACCAUCCUCCAAGGCUAAAUACUCCUGACUGACCGAUAGUGAACCAGUACCGUGAGGGAAAGGCGAAAAGAACCCCGGCGAGGGGAGUGAAAAAGAACCUGAAACCGUGUACGUACAAGCAGUGGGAGCACAGGUUUACCUGUGUGACUGCGUACCUUUUGUAUAAUGGGUCAGCGACUUAUAUUCUGUAGCAAGGUUAACCGUAUAGGGGAGCCGGAGGGAAACCGAGUCUUAACCGGGCGUUAAGUUGCAGGGUAUAGACCCGAAACCCGGUGAUCUAGCCAUGGGCAGGUUGAAGGUUGGGUAACACUAACUGGAGGACCGAACCGACUAAUGUUGAAAAAUUAGCGGAUGACCUGUGGCUGGGGGUGAAAGGCCAAUCAAACCGGGAGAUAGCUGGUUCUCCCCGAAAGCUAUUUAGGUAGCGCCUCGUGAAUUCAUCUCCGGGGGUAGAGCACUGUUUCGGCUAGGGGGCCAUCCCGGCUUACCAACCCGAUGCAAACUGCGAAUACCGGAGAAUGUUAUCACGGGAGACACACGGCGGGUGCUAACGUCCGUCGUGAAGAGGGAAACAACCCAGACCGCCAGCUAAGGUCCCAAAGUCAUGGUUAAGUGGGAAACGAUGUGGGAAGGCCCAGACAGCCAGGAUGUUGGCUUAGAAGCAGCCAUCAUUUAAAGAAAGCGUAAUAGCUCACUGGUCGAGUCGGCCUGCGCGGAAGAUGUAACGGGGCUAAACCAUGCACCGAAGCUGCGGCAGCGAACGUAUCACUUAAAGCGAUUCAGCGGGUUACGAUUGACGGAGCGAAGCGACGUCAAAGCGUAUACAAAGUCGAGUCGGUUUAAGGAUACGUUCGUUGGGUAGGGGAGCGUUCUGUAAGCCUGUGAAGGUGGCCUGUGAGGGUUGCUGGAGGUAUCAGAAGUGCGAAUGCUGACAUAAGUAACGAUAAAGCGGGUGAAAAGCCCGCUCGCCGGAAGACCAAGGGUUCCUGUCCAACGUUAAUCGGGGCAGGGUGAGUCGACCCCUAAGGCGAGGCCGAAAGGCGUAGUCGAUGGGAAACGGGUUAAUAUUCCCGUACUUGGUGUUACUGCGAAGGGGGGACGGAGAAGGCUAUGUUGGCCGGGCGACGGUUGUCCCGGUUUAAGCGUGUAGGCUGGUUUUCCAGGCAAAUCCGGAAAAUCAAGGCUGAGGCGUGACGACGAGGCACUACGGUGCUGAAGCAACAAAUGCCCUGCUUCCAGGAAAAGCCUCUAAGCAUCAGGUAACAUCAAAUCGUACCCCAAACCGACACAGGUGGUCAGGUAGAGAAUACCAAGGCGCUUGAGAGAACUCGGGUGAAGGAACUAGGCAAAAUGGUGCCGUAACUUCGGGAGAAGGCACGCUGACACGUAGGUGAAGUGAUUUACUCACGGAGCUGAAGUCAGUCGAAGAUACCAGCUGGCUGCAACUGUUUAUUAAAAACACAGCACUGUGCAAACACGAAAGUGGACGUAUACGGUGUGACGCCUGCCCGGUGCCGGAAGGUUAAUUGAUGGGGUCAGCGCAAGCGAAGCUCCUGAUCGAAGCCCCGGUAAACGGCGGCCGUAACUAUAACGGUCCUAAGGUAGCGAAAUUCCUUGUCGGGUAAGUUCCGACCUGCACGAAUGGCGUAAUGAUGGCCAGGCUGUCUCCACCCGAGACUCAGUGAAAUUGAACUCGCUGUGAAGAUGCAGUGUACCCGCGGCAAGACGGAAAGACCCCGUGAACCUUUACUAUAGCUUGACACUGAACAUUGAGCCUUGAUGUGUAGGAUAGGUGGGAGGCUUUGAAGCGUGGACGCCAGUCUGCGUGGAGCCGACCUUGAAAUACCACCCUUUAAUGUUUGAUGUUCUAACGUGGACCCGUGAUCCGGGUUGCGGACAGUGUCUGGUGGGUAGUUUGACUGGGGCGGUCUCCUCCUAAAGAGUAACGGAGGAGCACGAAGGUUGGCUAAUCCUGGUCGGACAUCAGGAGGUUAGUGCAAUGGCAUAAGCCAGCUUGACUGCGAGCGUGACGGCGCGAGCAGGUGCGAAAGCAGGUCAUAGUGAUCCGGUGGUUCUGAAUGGAAGGGCCAUCGCUCAACGGAUAAAAGGUACUCCGGGGAUAACAGGCUGAUACCGCCCAAGAGUUCAUAUCGACGGCGGUGUUUGGCACCUCGAUGUCGGCUCAUCACAUCCUGGGGCUGAAGUAGGUCCCAAGGGUAUGGCUGUUCGCCAUUUAAAGUGGUACGCGAGCUGGGUUUAGAACGUCGUGAGACAGUUCGGUCCCUAUCUGCCGUGGGCGCUGGAGAACUGAGGGGGGCUGCUCCUAGUACGAGAGGACCGGAGUGGACGCAUCACUGGUGUUCGGGUUGUCAUGCCAAUGGCACUGCCCGGUAGCUAAAUGCGGAAGAGAUAAGUGCUGAAAGCAUCUAAGCACGAAACUUGCCCCGAGAUGAGUUCUCCCUGAGACUUAGAGUCUCCUGAAGGAACGUUGAAGACGACGACGUUGAUAGGCCGGGUGUGUAAGCGCAGCGAUGCGUUGAGCUAACCGGUACUAAUGAACCGUGAGGCUUAACC
rnacentral:rRNA from 1 species